rnacentral:rRNA from 1 species
UACGGAGGGUGCAAGCGUUAUCCGGAUUCACUGGGUUUAAAGGGUGCGUAGGUGGGUUGGUAAGUCAGUGGUGAAAUCUCCGUGCUUAACAUGGAAACUGCCAUUGAUACUACUGGUCUUGAAUUUUCUGGAGGUAAGCGGAAUAUGUCAUGUAGCGGUGAAAUGCUUAGAUAUGACAGAGAACACCAAUUGCGAAGGCAGCUUACUACAGGGAUAUUGACACUGAGGCACGAAAGCGUGGGGAUCAAACAGG